GCACAAGUGGUCUAGCGAUAGAAUAGUACCCUACCAUGGUACAGACCUGGGUUUGAUUCCUAGUUGGUGCA
rnacentral:tRNA from 1 species